rnacentral:rRNA from 1 species
AGUAAAAGUCGUAACAAGGUCUCCGUUGGUGAACCAGCGGAGGGAUCAUUACAGAGUUUUCUAAACUCCCAACCCAUGUGAACUUACCUAUGUUGCCUCGGCGGCGCCCGGUAGCGAGCAUCUCGCGACCUACCCGGGACCGCCGGUGGAAAACCAAACUCUUUGAAUUUUUAGCACUUCUGAGUUAAAAUCAUAAUAAGUUAAAACUUUCAACAACGGAUCUCUUGGUUCUGGCAUCGAUGAAGAACGCAGCGAAAUGCGAUAAGUAAUGUGAAUUGCAGAAUUCAGUGAAUCAUCGAAUCUUUGAACGCACAUUGCGCCCAUUAGUAUUCUAGUGGGCAUGCCUGUUCGAGCGUCAUUUCAAACCCUUAAGCCCUGUUGCUUAGCGUUGGGAGCCUGCCGUAAAAGGCAGCUCCUCAAAGUCAUCGGCGGAGUUUCAGUAAUCUCUAAGCGUAGUAAUUCGUUCUCGCUUCUGAAGUGCUGUAGCCCCUGCCGCUAAGCACCCAAUUUUUCAGGUUUGACCUCGGAUCAGGUAGGAAUACCCGCUGAACUUAAGCAUAUCAAUAAGCGGAGA